GUUCCUGUUUAUCCUGCAGGAGGUUGCUGCUAUCAGAAUCCCGCUUAGGCAUGCAAGUCUAGGGGCCUUCGGGUCACUGGCAAACUGCUCAGUAACACGUCGAUAAUCUGCCUUUGAGCCUGGAAUAACCUUGGGAAACUGAGGCUAAUACUGGAUAAGGAAAAACCACUGGAAUGUUUUUUUCCUCAAAGCUUCGGCACUCAAAGAUGAGUCGGCGGCCCAUCAGGUUGUUGGUGAGGUAACUCAGCGCAAAACAGAGUUUUGCUCAUUGCAAAGCUCACGCUUUACAAGCUCACCAAGCCUACGACGGGUAAGGGCCUUGAGAGAGGUAGCCCUGAGAGGGACACUUAGAUACUGGUCCCAGCCCUACGGGGUGCAGCAGCUAGGAAAACUUUACAAUGCACGAAAGUGUGAUAAGGGGAUUCUGAGUGCUCAAGCAUAGCUUGGGCUUUUGCCAAGAGUAAAUUACGAAAAUGGAACAUCUAAUAAUGUAACCAUUUCGGAUUACAAAUCUUGGCGAAUAAGCGGUGGGCAAGACUGGUGCCAGCCGCCGCGGUAACACCAGCGCCGCAAGUGGGAACCG
rnacentral:rRNA from 1 species